GAUUGGAGUCUGCAACUCGACUCCNUGAAGCUGGAUUCGCUAGUAAUCGCGCAUCAGCCAUGGCGCGGUGAAUACGUUCCCGGGCCUUGUACACACCGCCCGUCAAGCCAUGGGAGUCGGGAGUGCCUGAAGUUCGUGACCGUCACAGGAGCGACCUAAGGCAAGACCGAUGACUGGGGCUAAGUCGUAACAAGGUAAC
rnacentral:rRNA from 1 species